AUUGAACGCUGGCGGCAUGCCUUACACAUGCAAGGUCGAACGGCAGCACGGGAGCAAUCCUGGUGGCGAGUGGCGAACGGGUGAGUAAUAUAUCGGAACGUGCCCAGUCGUGGGGGAUAACGUAGCGAAAGCUACGCUAAUACCGCAUACGAUCUACGGAUGAAAGCGGGGAUCGCAAGACCUCGCGCGAUUGGAGCGGCCGAUAUCAGAUUAGGUAGUUGGUGAGGUAAAGGCUCACCAAGCCGACGAUCUGUAGCUGGUCUGAGAGGACGACCAGCCACACUGGGACUGAGACACGGCCCAGACUCCUACGGGAGGCAGCAGUGGGGAAUUUUGGACAAUGGGCGCAAGCCUGAUCCAGCAAUGCCGCGUGCAGGAUGAAGGCCUUCGGGUUGUAAACUGCUUUGUACGGAACGAAACGGUGAGCUCUAAUACAGUUUGCUAAUGACGGUACCGUAAGAAUAAGCACCGGCUAACUACGUG
rnacentral:rRNA from 1 species